rnacentral:lncRNA from 1 species
CACAAAUCAGAGGCUCCAAAUCUUUGUCACAGCGCGGCAAGACUGAUGGCAGUGGUGGCCGAUGAGUGUUUGCAUCGGACAGGAGACAAGGACCGGCGGCUAAAGCAAGCGAUCAAGUCGAGAGUGAUAGUGUGGUCCUGAGAUUUGUGAAGCUGUUUUUUUUUCCUCUCUUAGAAAACCAGUUUUUUUUGUCCAGCCAAUGAGUGGGCCAGGCCAAGCGAAUGUUGGCCAUUUGUUUUUCUUUCUUUUUCUUUUUUCUUACUUUUUUCAUGUUUAUUUUCGUUUUCUUAGGUAUUAUUUUACCUUGUAUUCCUACUUUUAUUUUUUUAUAUAAUUGUUUUUAAGAAGAAAUAGUACGAACAUACUCCCUCUGUAAACUAUACGAUCAACUUUCUAAUUUUGCAUAUAAUAGCC